GAGGGUGUAGCUCAAGUGGUAGAGCACAUGCUUAGUAUACAGGAGGUCCUGGGUUCAAUUCCCAGUAACUCCU
rfam:Camelus ferus unplaced genomic scaffold scaffold1030, whole genome shotgun sequence.